rnacentral:rRNA from 1 species
GACGAACGCUGGCGGCGUGCUUAACACAUGCAAGUCGAACGAAGUGGCGAACGGGUGAGUAACGCGUAAUCAACCUGCCCUUCAGAGGGGGACAACAGUUGGAAACGACUGCUAAUACCGCAUACUCUAGGAGGGGAGUGCGGCGGAUUGGCUAGUUGGAGGGGUAACGGCCCACAAAGGCGAGGAUCAGUAGCCGGUCUGAGAGGUUGAACGGCCACAUUGUGACUGGUACACGGCCCAGACUCCUACGGGAGGCAGCAGUGGGGAAUCUUCCGCAAUGGACGAAAGUCUGACGGAGCAACGCCGCGUGAGUGAUGACGGCCUUCGGGUUGUAAAGCUCUGUUAAUCGGGACGCGGUACCGGAAGAGAAAGCCACGGCUAACUACGUGCCAGCAGCCGCGGUAAUUC